rnacentral:piRNA from 1 species
UUUUUGUUUGUCCAUCUUAGCAGC